UUUGGGAAUUGUGCACAGUAUACCUGAACCAGUUUAUCUGCAAAGACUUUUCCUGUUCGCCGUGAUGACGUUUAAUGUCCCCGACAACGUCUGUAGUCCCAUUUAGCAACUUGUUAAUGUCACGAUUUCCCCUCGCGCAAGCGCUGGAGCACGCAGUACGCUCUGAAGCGCUGAAACACUAACUCAUUUCCGGGUUUUGGCGUUACAAAAUGACGUCAUCCCUGCGCCAGUCUAUGGUGACUGGCUGUAAGUUUAGGAAACGCUUGAUUUGAUCUGCAGCGGAGUUUUCUCAGGUACAUCUUCUACUUGCAGGCAUUCUGACCAAGACUCAGGAAAUGCCCAACAGGUUUCUCUUGCUGUGUGUGACUAUGAGGAGGAGAAAUCUGCUGAAGUUCUGACUUACACAACAGUGAUUAUUUACAGCAAUGCCACCAGCUCUAAUGAUGCAGUUCCAAGCAUUAAUGAUGAAGUCUCAUGUGACUAUACUUCAGUCAGUUACGCUGCUUUGUGUGGAUAGAUUAUUGGAGCGUGAUUAGGGCUCUGAGCAUGCGGCACUGGAUUGUUACUGUUUUCUUCUUCUUCUUCUUCAUCUUCAGAUUUUCUGGAAAGAUGCCGUGAAGACACGUCUCUCAGAGUUCUGGUAGUCAUGAAGUACAGCACUCUGGACAAAACGUUUGAUUCUCUUUAUUCUUCAAAGCUCCAAUCCCAUAGUUUCUGCCUACUUAGAUUCUGAGCUAAUUUGCAUGAUUGCAUAAUUUCACUGUGUGUCAAACCUUUAUAAUGUUCCUGAUCCUGCAAAACUCUGCACCUCGAUUAGCUCUAGGUAAUAGCAGCGUUGUAUCAGUAUCAUGUUAACCAACAAAGAAUGAAGGCUUUGGCAGAGAAAACAUAAUUUAUUUUCGUUUAUUUGGUGGCACGACUUCAACUGUGGAUCUCAUCAGCCUACUGCCAGACUGUAGAAUGAACCUCUUUAAAGCCCCAGGGAAUGUAUAGUGGAAGUUCAUUUGUGUAACUGUGAGUGCUUGUGGUUGUCUGUUAAUACGGUGUUUAAUGUUCUGUUUUAUUAGAAUCAGGCUUUAUUAUUGUAAGAGAAAUGUGUUCAAGCUCAAACUGUAAACAAAAACACCACGAUGUAAUAUUAUAUCAGCAUUCUGUAUUAUACAUUUACAGCGUUUAGAAGAUGCCCUUUUCUACAGAGACUUACAGAAGUGCUUUGUAGAGACACAGAUAUAGCUACAGAUACAGAAAGUGUCCCUGUGUUACACCCCUAGUGUUCACACACAGACAGCAGGGAUGUUGUUGUGCAGGAAGCUGAUCUCAGAACUGCAGAAUAUGUGAAUAUGUGGAGGUGUUUUCCCAAAGCAGCACCAGAAACUUCUCCAAUUCAGACAAAGUCCUGCUCUCUCAUUAUUUACAUUUUUAAUCCUCCAUGGUGAAUUCUGUAGUGUUCAGUUUAAACUGUAUCUUUCUUCCUCUGUUACACACCUUGUGCUGUAGAGGGCAGUAGAGGCCUUCUGGCAGUAGAGCAGUACACACUGACAUGGAGUAAUAAAUAUCCUCAGUAAAGUUAAUACUGGAGCACUGAGAGGAGAAAUAACACUGUUUUUUAAAUAAAGAUUGAAAGAGUUGUCGGAAGCGUAGCGGUGCUGACGUUGAAGUCAUGCGACUGUGGUGUAGUUCGUUUAUAGCCUAACAUUAGCUUUUUUCUACUGGCGAUUGUAUUUAGGCUGCAAAAUUCAUAAAAGUUGUGUUAAUUUGUGAAGAUUUUCUUGAUAAACAAAACGUGUGAGAAUCAUAAACUUUAGUUGGUCACAGAGUUUAUUUUCUGCAAUAAUCUAAAAACCAAUGGGAAAAUCCUAUUGGAUUUUUGCAGAGGGAACCAGGCUGAUGCUACCUUCCGGGGUUGGCUUACAAAAAUACAUCAUCCAUGCAGGAUUGAGGAACUCCACAUUAGUGUCCGAUACUUGAGAAGGAGACACACCUCUCUCUUAAUGUGGAUGUCCAUCUCUACAACGGGCAAUUAUUACAUUUAUGAGGCCAAAGAUGCCAACGUGCAUGCAACACCAGUCCCACUCACAAGGCAGGAGAUUUUCUCUGGACUAAAUUACGUACAACUUUGGUUAUGUCCUGAUCACGAGAAAACAACUAAGAAAAAAAUUAACAAUGCAUGACCGUUUAGGGCUUCCGUAGGAUUCAACAUUUGAAAGUUUUUUUUUUACACCUUCAGCCCGGCCCCAAUUCCAAAUAGAAUGGAGCGGGGCUGCACUUUUGACGGGGCUACAUGCGUCACUCUGCCCAUAACUGGUCUCAUUGGUUAGUGGCAAUGUAAUGAGGUCGACGCCUCGGUACUAUCACAGGAAAUGCAGUUGGUAACGAUGCUUACGACUCACGUGAUAUUAAGUUGUGUUUGAUAUUAUUGUUUAUUAAUAAGAUACAACACACUUAAUACAUUGUCAAUUUGUCUAUUUUUUAUUUUUCAAACAAGAAUCCUCUUACUGCUUUACUUGGCUGAUUUUCACUUAGCCUUAUAUGUCACAUCAUAUCACAUGGGCAUUAAGAACUAUAAAUCUCAAUGUCAACGAAUUUUGUUGAUGUACAAAUUCUUCUGGUUGUUAAUCUCUGGCUGUUUAUUUAUUUAUUUAUUAUAUAUUUGCUUUAGAAUAACGCAACAGAUUUUCAACAUUUAUAUAAAAGAUGAUUUAUUCUCAGUAAGAGUGUCAAGUCUUAAGAUAGAGAAAUUAUGAAUUAACUUAAUAAAGAAAGGAUAAAUGGUAAGAAUGUAUCUAUCAUCAUAACAUUUUUCUCAUACACUGCCCUCCACUAAUAUUAGCACCCUUGGUAAAUAUGAGCAAAGAAGGCUGUGAAAGGCUUUCUUUACUUUUAAAACUUUUGAUAUUUUGUUUAAAAAAUUCACACUCUGCUCUCAUGGAUAUCAAACAACUGCAAACACAACACAGGUUUCUCAAAAAAAAAAAUCUUUAUUAAGUAUAGGUGUGCAACUAUUAUUGGCAUCCCUAUGUAUUCAUAUGAGAAAAAUAUAUUCAAAAUAUAUUCUCAUUGACAUUUUACCUUUUUUUAGUACACCUGGGCGACUAGGAACAAGAAA